UCCUACGGGAGGCAGCAGUGGGGAAUAUUGGACAAUGGGCGCAAGCCUGAUCCAGCCAUACCGCGUGUGUGAAGAAGGCCUUCGGGUUGUAAAGCACUUUCAGUGGUGAGGAAAAGUUAGUAGUUAAUACCUGCUAGCCGUGACGUUAACCACAGAAGAAGCACCGGCUAACUCCGUGCCAGCAGCCGCGGUAAUACGGAGGGUGCGAGCGUUAAUCGGAAUUACUGGGCGUAAAGCGCACGCAGGCGGUUUGUUAAGCUAGAUGUGAAAGCCCCGCGCUUAACGUGGGAUGGUCAUUUAGAACUGGCAGACUAGAGUCUUGGAGAGGGGAGUGGAAUUUCUGGUGUAGCGGUGAAAUGCGUAGAGAUCAGAAGGAACAUCAAUGGCGAAGGCAGCUCUCUGGCCAAAGACUGACGCUCAUGUGCGAAAGUGUGGGUAGCGAACAGGAUUAGAUACCCUGGUAGUCCACACCGUAAACGCUGUCUACUAGCUGUAUGUGUAUUUAAUACGUGUGUAGCGAAGCUAACGCGCUAAGUAGACCGCCUGGGGAGUACGGUCGCAAGAUUAAAACUCAAAUGAAUUGACGGA
rnacentral:rRNA from 1 species